rnacentral:rRNA from 1 species
UACAGAGGGUGCGAGCGUUAAUCGGAGUUACUGGGCGUAAAGGGCGCGUAGGCGGUGAGAUGUGUGUGAUGUGAAAGCCCCGGGCUUAACCUGGGAAGUGCAUCGCAAACUAUCUGACUGGAGUAGAUGAGAGGGUGGCGGAAUUUCCGGUGUAGCGGUGAAAUGCGUAGAUAUCUGGAGGAACACCGGUGGCGAAGGCGGCAUCCUGGACCGGCAUUGACGCUGAGGCGCGAAAGCCAGGGGAGCAAACGGG